UACGAAGGUGGCAAGCGUUGUUCGGAUUUACUGGGCGUACAGGGAGCGUAGGCGGUUGGAUAAGCCCUCCGUGAAAUCUCCAGGCUUAACCUGGAAAGUGCAGAGGGGACUGUUCAGCUAGAGGAUGGGAGAGGAGCGCGGAAUUCCCGGUGUAGCGGUGAGAUGCGUAGAGAUCGGGAGGAAGGCCGGUGGCGAAGGCGGCGCUCUGGAACAUUUCUGACGCUGAGGCUCGAAAGCGUGGGGAGCAAACAGG
rnacentral:rRNA from 1 species